CGAAGAGCCUCUUUUACCACAGACUGAAUCACGUGACAGACAGUGAUCAGGAGCACAGGUGAGUCUCAAACCAAAAGUGUUUCAGAGACUUCUGGAUUCUGUUCCUGCAGGACAAGACCGUCUGUGCUGCUGAAGUCAUGCUGAGCAUCUGAUGGUCUUCAGCGACACAGAGAUACCAGAGCUGAGCUGUUUUCAGUGUCAGUUUAUCUGCAGUAAUGUCAGAGGAGCGAGGAAAGGACUCUCUCUCUAAGAUGAGUCUCUCAGAGGAACAGAGUGAAAGAUCAGACUCACAUGUGUCCAGCUCUGUGUCUGUGAAGAGUGACCGGUCAAAAGGUGAAGGACCAAACUUCAGUGAGAGAAAACCAUCAACUAACAAAAGG